rnacentral:rRNA from 1 species
CUGGCUCAGGAUGAACGCUGGCGGCAGGCUUAAUACAUGGCAAGUCGAACGGUAAGGCCGCCUGUAGCAAGUACAGGGGGUACACGAGUGGCGCACGGGUGCGUAACGCGUAUGCAACCUGGCCCCCAACCGGGACAAAACAGCUGGAAACGGCUGCUAAUAUCCCAUGGUCACUCGGGGAGGGCAUCCUCCUGGGUGUAAAGAUUCAUUGGUUGGGGAUGGGCAUGCGUAUUAUUAGGUAGUUGGCGGGGUAACGGCCCACCAAGCCGACGAUGAUUAGGGGUCCUGAGAGGGUUAUCCCCCACACUGGAACUGAGACACGGUCCAGACUCCUACGGGAGGCAGCAGUAGGGAAUAUUGGGCAAUGGGAGCAAUCCUGACCCAGCCAUGCCGCGUGAAGGAAGACGGUCCUAUGGAUUGUAAACUUCUUUUGCCGCAGAGUAACCGCGGGGACGAGUCCCCGCCUGAGAGUAUGCGGCGAAUAAGUAUCGGCUAACUCCGUGCCAGCAGCCGC